AACCAAGGUGAUUCCCUCUCCAAGGGGACUAAUAGUGCCCCUCUUCAGGAAAGUAGCAACUUGGAAUAAAAUCUGGCAUGCCUCAGGUUUUCAAGGGAGAAAGUGACACAUCAUUUCCUUUGCCUUUGGCUGCCUACAUGU